AGGACGAACGCUGGCGGCGUGCUUAACACAUGCAAGUCGAGCGGUAAGGCCUUUCGGGGUACACGAGCGGCGAACGGGUGAGUAACACGUGGGUGAUCUGCCCUGCACUCUGGGAUAAGCCUGGGAAACUGGGUCUAAUACCGGAUAUGACCUGCUCUCGCAUGGGGGUGGGUGGAAGGAUUUAUCGGUGCAGGAUGGGCCCGCGGCCUAUCAGCUUGUUGGUGGGGUAAUGGCCUACCAAGGCGACGACGGGUAGCCGACCUGAGAGGGUGACCGGCCACACUGGGACUGAGACACGGCCCAGACUCCUACGGGAGGCAGCAGUGGGGAAUAUUGCACAAUGGGCGAAAGCCUGAUGCAGCGACGCCGCGUGAGGAUGAAGGCCUUACGGGUUGUAAACCUCUUUCAGCAGGAACGAAGCGACAAGUGACGGUACCUGCAGAAGAAGCACCGGACUAACUACGU
rnacentral:rRNA from 1 species